rnacentral:rRNA from 1 species
AUUGAACGCUGGCGGCAGGCCUAACACAUGCAAGUCGAGCGAGCGGCGGACGGGUGAGUAAUGUAUGGGGACUGCCCGAUAGAGGGGGAUAACUCCUGGAAACGGUGGCUAAUACCGCGUACUCUCGGAUAACCCAUAUGGGAUUAGCUCGUAGGUGGGGUAAAGGCUCACCUAGGCGACGCUCUCUCGCGGGUCUGAGAGGAUGAUCAGCAAAACGGAGACGGAGACACGGCCAAGACGCUUAGGGAGGCAGAGGUGGGAAAAAUUGCACAAGGGGGGCAAGCCGGAUGCAGCAAGGCGGGGUGUAGGAAGAAGGCCUCAGGGUGGUAAAGAACUUUCAGCGGGGAGGCGUUACCGGCAGAGGAAGCACCGGCUAACUCCGGGCCAGCCGCGGCGGUAAUA